GUGCCAGCCGCCGCGGUAAUACGUAGGUGGCAAGCGUUGUCCGGAAUUAUUGGGCGUAAAGCGCGCGCAGGCGGUCCUUUAAGUCUGAUGUGAAAGCCCACGGCUCAACCGUGGAGGGUCAUUGGAAACUGGGGACUUGAGUGCAGAAGAGGAAAGUGGAAUUCCAAGUGUAGCGGUGAAAUGCGUAGAGAUUUGGAGGAACACCAGUGGCGAAGGCGACUUUCUGGUCUGUAACUGACGCUGAGGCGCGAAAGCGUGGGAGCAAACAGGAUUAGAUACCCUGGUAGUCCACGCCGUAAACGAUGAGUGCUAAGUGUUAGGGGUUUCCGCCCUUAGUGCUGCAGCUAACGCAUUAAGCACUCCGCCUGGGAGUACGGUCGCAGACUG
rnacentral:rRNA from 1 species